rnacentral:lncRNA from 1 species
UUAUUCUCCCCAAAAGACACUCUCACAGUUUAUAUCAAGUGCACAGGCAAUUUUCUCUCAAGUACAUCGACGAUUAGGGUUUCAAGACCCUUCUUUAAUCAUCGCAGCUCUCAGGCUCUCAGUAUAAUCUGUCUGUGGAGAUCCGCUGUGAUUUGCUAUUCAUACUGUUGAUAUUUAUCGGUUCAGCUUGUUGUUAGUCUCACCUGUGAGAUCUUGAUCCUGUAUAGGUCAGGUUGUAUUCGUUCUUGUUAUCUUUCUAUCUUUGUAUUCAUAGAUCAACUGAUUUAUUAAAUCAGUCGAUCUAAACUUGUGUUCAUCAGAUCUUAGUUCAUGUAAGAUCGAGGGUUUGGGGGGUGUUUUUGGUUUGGGUUAAAUAAUAAAGUUUUACGUCACGAUUUGUCGCUUCUCGUGUGUUUUAUGUUGUUCUUUGUGUUUUAUAUCGAUCGAUCAUACUAUUUUGACAUGGUAUCAGAGCAAUAGGCUCUGAUCGAUUAUCAUCAAUUAAUAGAUUAUUGUUCUUCCGCUGCUUUGGUACGUUUUUCUACUUGGUUUUUUUGUUUUGAAAGCCAGAGAUUUGGGCGUGUUUGGUUCAUCACAUAUCUGGCAUGAUUUAAGGUGUUAGGGUUUUGAUUAAAACCCUAACUGUCUUUGUUCUUGAACGGCAGUCUUUCUGCAUACAUGUUUGUAGAAGUCUUUACAUCAGGAAUAGGAUUUGUAACCAUGGAUUGGUAUUCUUGCGUCUAUAAAGGCUGUUAGGAGUAUUGGUGAUUUAUACUCUGCACUUUGUUUUGUUCUUGCGCUUGCUUUGUUCACCGUAGAUAAUGUCUUGAUUAAUUGCUUCUGUUUUAGGAGUCUAUUAUCAUGUUGUUGGAAAACACAUAUAGU